UUUAAAAUCCCUCGCUUAGGCUUUCAGCAAGAAAAGGGGCUUAAGGAAAAAGAGCUUAAAAGCUUUUCCAUAAGAUAAUACCGGGGAAGGUUUUUCGGUUUAUCCCGGAGGGCUUGUAGCUCAGUUGGUUAGAGCGCGCGCUUGAUAAGCGUGAGGUCGGAGGUUCAAGUCCUCCCAGGCCCACCAUUUUGUAUAAAUCUAUAAGCGUUUGUAGAACUUUCUUCUAUAAGGCUUGCUUAUACACUUAUAUAAAGCUUAUCUACGAAGAAGUUUCCUUCCUUUUCUUAAGCAAUCCGGAGUUAAAGUGGUUCAAAUGAACAGUGAUCCCAUAAAAGGUGAUUCUGAAUUGAAAAUUCAAAUUUAAAAAAAAUUGAACCUUUUCUCCUUUUUAGGGGCCGUAGCUCAG
rnacentral:misc_RNA from 1 species